AAGUCGAACGAACGGAGGAAGAGCUUGCUCUUCCAAAGUUAGUGGCGGACGGGUGAGUAACACGUGGGCAACCUGCCUGUAAGUUGGGGAUAACUCCGGGAAACCGGGGCUAAUACCGAAUGAUAGAGUGUGGCGCAUGCCACGCUUUUGAAAGAUGGUUUCGGCUAUCGCUUACAGAUGGGCCCGCGGUGCAUUAGCUAGUUGGUAGGGUAAUGGCCUACCAAGGCAACGAUGCAUAGCCGACCUGAGAGGG
rnacentral:rRNA from 1 species